GUGGGCCUGAAGCUGAAUAUCACCGAUAAUUCUAUUUUUUUCAAACGAUCCUCCUACGACCGCAAGGGAAUGACAUCAGCCGUGCUAGAGGGGAAAUUUACCUCGAGCAGGAAGAAGCACAUGGAUAUUGAUAGUCCAGGUGGUGUAUACAGACUGCAGGAGGACAUAAUUUAUAUGAGUGAAAACGGAAGCUGUGCGGUGAUCAAGGUGACGACGUCAUUUGGUGGAACGCAAGAAACAUAUGACCUCCGUGUGACGAAUUCUUCACUUAAAUCGGGACCUACAGAGAAAUGCAUAUCUAAAUUCAGUAAGCAUGAAGGUGAAGGAAAGGUUAUUUACGAUGCGCAGUGCCAAGGUAUACUGGCUAGCGAUGGUGUCAAUAUUAAAAUCUGACGAGAUAGCGAAACCUUAUUUCAAAAAAAAUCUUCCAGUAUUUUUUCUUCGUUUUCAAUAAAUUUAAGUGUUCAAAAAUCAAUAAACAGUACC
rnacentral:lncRNA from 1 species